UGGGAACACAACUGAACACAACACAUGCAAGACACAGGGCUAUCAGAACAAAACAGGAAGUAACAAACACUGUUGCCAUGAACUAAGACAUAUGAACUUGGCAGAACUAAGCAGGGACACAAGACAGAAAGAAAUGUAAUCUGGCAGCAGUAUGGUGAAGCAACAAAUGAAAGAAAAAGAACAAGUUGUCCAACUUGACAGUGUGGCGGCUCGAGAGUGAAUGACAGUCUGUGACUUCAAGAAACUACAGCCGGAGCGUGAAAUGACUGCAAGCAGCCUUCCUUCAGCUUCGAAGCCAUGCACACGGGAGAUUUGCUGAUUCAUUCAUUUACCCAGCCUGCCCAAUUUGUAAACAUUAGACCUUGUAUUGUAAUAUUUCUUUCAGUUUAAUUUAUGUACUGUCAUGACUAAAAACCUGUGGUUGAAAUCUGAUCUGAAUCUUUAUUCAAGAAAACCUUUUUUCCCCAUGUACUAUUUUUUUCAUGAAGGCCAAUGUGAAAAGUUUCUGCUGGCUCUCCCUGUCUAACUUUAGAUAACAAGAAGUUAUCUACAGAGGUGUGAAAACUGCAUUCAGUACAUCUCCAAUUUUAUCUUUUAAAGUACACUAGUGUUAAUUGGCCAGAAGUUAAGUUAGGCAACAUUUGCCUUGUGCUGCUUCAGUCUCCACUGGUGAAACAAACAGCCUGUGCAGCAGCCACAUACUUACUGAAACUACAAAUUUAAGGACAGCACUCCCAUAUUUAACUCAGAGAGGUACAGAGUCAUUAACGUUGUGGUAAUUGCAGACAGCUGCAGAAGGGGAGCUUUGAGAAUACAAAACAACAGACAACAGCAGAAGAAUCUGACUACAUCGACGGGAAAACAUUUAUCAUACAAGGCGGGGGGUGGAGGGUGGGGUUGGAGGGAGUUUUCUCUCCAAUGCAGCUCCCUUCUUUUCAAUUAGAUUGUUCCUGCAUUUCCACUGGUAAAUAAUUCACAGGCAGAACCAUCAGCAGAUGGGCAUGGCUGUAUAAAUGUUUUAGUGUGUGCGUGGGGUGGGCAGUGAGUGAUGUUGGAGAUGGUUGGUGUGAGUUCUAACGAUGGAAAUAGUUUUUAGGCGUGUUUCCUGCGCUUUCAAACAUUUCCUGCUCCGCCUGUCUUCCUGUCCGUCUCGCUCGCUCUCUCUCUCUCCCUCUGAUGGACUAGAUGAGGUUCUCUUUCCAUGUUGUCCUGAAUGUAAAUGGAAGAAGUCAGCUCCAAUGCAUGUCAACUAAAGAGAGCAGAAAAAAGGCACUCACAAACAGUGGGAAUGUGGGUCGGACAUCUGUAAUAUGAGAAACAACCUGGAAGACAUAGAGUAUUGCUAUGUGUGUGUUUUAUGUUGUCGCUCAUGGGAAGCACAUUUAUUUAUUGAUAUUUUGUGUGUCAGAGACAAAUUAGUGUACAAGAUAAUUGGUGAGAUAAGUUGGGGAGCUCAAAGUAUCAAUGUUAAUUAAAGUUUUUGUGAAGUGUU